AUUGAACGCUGGCGGCAUGCUUUACACAUGCAAGUCGAGCGGCAGCGCGGGGGCAACCCUGGCGGCGAGCGGCGAACGGGUGAGGAAUACAUCGGAACGUGCCCGAGAGUGGGGGAUAACGCCGCGAAAGCGGCGCUAAUACCGCAUAUUCUCCGAGGAGGAAAGUGGGGGACCGCAAGGCCUCACGCUCACGGAGCGGCCGAUGUCGGAUUAGCUAGUUGGUGGGGUAAAGGCCUACCAAGGCGACGAUCCGUAGCUGGUCUGAGAGGAUGAUCCGCCACACUGGAACUGAGACACGGUCCAGACUCCUACGGGAGGCAGCAGUGGGGAAUUUUGGACAAUGGGGGCAACCCUGAUCCAGCCAUGCCGCGUGAGUGAAGAAGGCCUCGGUUGUAAGCUCUUCGGCCGGGUAGGGAAUACGCGACAGGCUAAUACCCUAGUGUGGAGUGACGGUACCGGAA
rnacentral:rRNA from 1 species